AUUGAACGCUGGCGGCAUGCCUAACACAUGCAAGUCGAACGGCAGCACGGGGGCAACCCUGGUGGCGAGUGGCGGACGGGUGAGGAAUACAUAGGAAUCUGCCCAGUCGUGGGGGAUAACGUAGGGAAACUUACGCUAAUACCGCAUACGACGGAGACGUGAAAGUGGGGGACCGCAAGGCCUCACGCGAUUGGAUGAGCCUAUGUCCGAUUAGCUAGUUGGCGGGGUAAGAGCCCACCAAGGCGACGAUCGGUAGCUGGUCUGAGAGGAUGAUCAGCCACACUGGAACUGAGACACGGUCCAGACUCCUACGGGAGGCAGCAGUGGGGAAUAUUGGACAAUGGGCGCAAGCCUGAUCCAGCAAUGCCGCGUGGGUGAAGAAGGCCUCGGGUUGUAAAGCCCUUUUGUACGGGAAGAAAAGCUUCGGAUUAAUACUUCGAGGUCAUGACGGUACCGUAAGAAUAAGCACUGGCUAACUUCGUGCCAGCAGCCGCGGUAAUACGAAGGGUGCAAGCGUUAAUCGGAAUUACUGGGCGUAAAGCGUGCGUAGGUGGUUAGUUAAGUCUGUCGUGAAAGCCCUGGCUCAACCUGGGAAUGGCGAUGGAUACUGGCUGACUAGAGUGCGGUAGAGGGUAGCGGAAUUUCCGGUGUAGCGGUGAAAUGCGUAGAGAUCGGAAGGAACAUCCGUGGCGAAGGCGGCUACCUGGACCAGCACUGACACUGAGGCACGAAAGCGUGGGG
rnacentral:rRNA from 1 species